GACGAACGCUGGCGGCGUGCUUAAUACAUGCAAGUCGAACGGAAAGGCCCUGCUUUUGUGGGGUGCUCGAGUGGCGAACGGGUGAGUAACACGUGAGUAACCUGCCCUUGACUUUGGGAUAACUUCAGGAAACUGGGGCUAAUACCGGAUAGGAGCUCCUGCUGCAUGGUGGGGGUUGGAAAGUUUCGGCGGUUGGGGAUGGACUCGCGGCUUAUCAGCUUGUUGGUGGGGUAGUGGCUUACCAAGGCUUUGACGGGUAGCCGGCCUGAGAGGGUGACCGGCCACAUUGGGACUGAGAUACGGCCCAGACUCCUACGGGAGGCAGAAGUGGGGAAUAUUACACAAUGGGCGGAAGCCUGAUGCAGCAACGCCGCGUGCGGGAUGACGGCCUUCGGGUUGUAAACCGCUUUCGCCUGUGACGAAGCGUGAGUGACGGUAAUGGGUAAAGAAGCACCGGCUAACUACGUG
rnacentral:rRNA from 1 species